GAUUGAUAUGAAGCACAAAAGUAACUAUGAUUUGUGCUUCCAAUAAAAAAACUCCCAUCCUCCAACUCCCAACCCCCAACCCCUUCUUCCUUUCCCCUCUUUGUUGUCUCCCUAGAAAAUUGCAUUAAAAGCUCCACCCCUCCAUCGAUUCAACUGUCUAUACCCUAUUAAUAUAAGAUUUGGAAUGGUAUAUGGAAUGUAGCAAUCAUUUAGGAGGGUUUCAUUGGACUGUCGUCUAACUGAAGAGAUUAACUUCAACGACAUAUUUUUAAGUUUUUAAGUCUUAUAAACAUAUAUAAAUAUGCAGAAUUUAAAUUUGGAGGCAUAAAUGUGAAAAUUACUUUUUUUUAUUGGCAUUAAUACUCUUUUAAGUGAUUUAUCAUGAUUGUAGGAAUUUUAAGAUACAUUGGACUCUUUUUAAGUUCAAAUUAAAAUACGAUAAAUACGAUUUUUAAUGAUUAAUUUAAAGUUGUUUUGGGUGGAUGUUACCAAAGGGAUAUUUAUAGAGAACAUAUAUGCAAAAUUAAGAUUCAGAGGAGCAGAUACGUUAGUUCCGAACUCUGAAAGGACAAAUAGGUAAAAGAGGUCCUUUUCCGUAAUUAAAUUCGGUCCCACCACCACCACCAUGUUAUUAGGUGGCGGAAGCCAACAAUUUUGAAGGCAGUUUCAUCAGCCCACCAAACAACUGAUCAGAUUUCGCCGCAGCCGUCCGAUCUCGGAAUUCAAAGUGAAGCACCAUGCUCACUUGCCUUGUUUCGUAACACCUUCCCCACUCUCUCUCUCGCUCUCUCUCUCGAUCGACGCCACCUCGCCCUCUUCGCCUCUCAUGUCUCGCACCGCCUACGACGAAGGCGUCGCGCCAGCGAACGUCCAGCUCGCCAACGGGGAGCAUGCCCGCCGGACGCGGGAGGGCGGCUGCUGGAGGUCCGAUCCACCUGGCCUCCGUCGGGUGCCUGAGGAGUGGAGGCGGCUCCGACGGUGCCUCGAGGCCGCAGCCAAAGGUUUCGCUAUAGGCGCCGGCCUGAAGGGAGGACUCGCGUUAUUCUCGGUUCUUGUGCGACUGAGGAGCCGCAGAUCCUUGAGGUCUUCCGCCAGAAAGGCGGGGGUUUUCACGAAUAAGGAGGCUGUGGUUGUGGCGUUGGAGGAGACGUUGAGAUAUGGGAUGUUUCUGGGAACCCUUGCAGGAACAUAUGUUUCGGUGGACGAAGUUAUUGCUGCAUUAGGUGGGCACAAGAGAACUGCAAGAUGGAGGUCGUUACUAGCAGGGUUGAUUGCUGGUCCAUCAAUGCUCUUGACCGGACCAAAUAAACAACACACUAGCUUGGCUAUAUACAUUCUUAUGCGUGCUGCGGUAUUGGCAUCACGUUGUGGGAUAAAGAGCAAACUAUUUGGUGGUGUUUGUAGACCAUUGACUUGGUCACAUGGUGACAUAUUUCUUAUGUGUCUCGCCUCUUCACAGAUCUUGCCUGCUUACAUUCUGAAGCAAGACAGCUUGCCAUCAUCAUACAAGUCAUUUCUUCAUAAGCAUGGUGGAAAGGAUGCUGUUAUUCUGCAAAGUAUGAGAGAAAUUGCAUCCAAUAUUUGUUUUUCUAAUUUAGAUGGGGUUAAGAAGUAUUACAAGUCCAUCGGUGUUGAUGUGAAGCUAGAUCCUAAUAUGAAUGUCCCAUGCUCGAUUGUGCAUGGCAAUCAAUCUUGUUUUGAGCAUUUCAUAACUUUCCUUUUCCAAGAAUAUGGAAGAGCACUACCAGUUUAUCUUCCAGUCUACUUGGUUCCUGCACUGGUAGUUCAUCGUCAGGGUCUUUGGAAAAGGCCUUACACAAUCUUGGGGAAGAGUCUUCUGGGGACUGCAAGAUCUAGCUUGUUCCUCUCUGUAUAUUGUGCAUCGGCCUGGGCUUGGACAUGCCUGCUUUUUCGACUUUUUAAAAGAUGUAACAUUCCGAUGGUCGUGAUUGGCACAUUCCCUACUGGCCUGGCAUUGCUAAUUGAGAAGAAGAGCAGAAGGACCGAGAUUUCUUUGUAUUGCCUUGCCCGAGCAAUCGAAAGCUUCUGCACAUGCUUGGCAGAUGCUGGAGUGUUCCCUCAAGCAUCAAAGCUAAAGCGAGCUGAUGUGAUCGUAUUCAGCUUUGCAACAGCCAUCAUCAUGCACUGCUAUGCACAAGAAAGAGAGGUGUUCCGGUCAAAGUAUUUGAAUGUGCUCGACUGGGUCUUUGGUGUCCCCCCACCAUAUGAUGAUGAACAUUGCAAGAAAUCCUAAAUUAUCGAUACCGUGCUACACGAUAUCUAGAUCAAUAUGCCGAUGUAGAUUAGAUUUUGUUAUAGAGAGAUGAACCGGGAUAGCUGGAAGAAGAUAUAAUGAGACCACUGGCUUCAUUUCCCUGGUCAACCAUCCUGAGCUUUUCUGUUAUGACAUGGAUCUUGCUCUCACAGCAAGUGUUGCAGCUAAAGUGAGAGGCAAAGAAGCUGGCAUUGACAUGACAGUGGAGCUUUGAAGGAGGCUUCAAAGUUUCUAGCAGCAUAAGAUUCCUCAGAAAUUUCGAUUCCUUCAAGCCAUUGUACCACAAACAUUAUAUUCUUUCUAUUACUUAUUAGCAUAUUACAAAUUAUUAUGUAGCUUCUCCAGUUAGUAUGUA